rnacentral:lncRNA from 1 species
AAAUUUUUUGAAAUUUGAAUCAGAAAUACAAAUUGAUAAAAUUUAUUCAUACUGUAUUUCUUUUAAUUAUAUAAUCUUUAUUGAUGUUUACUUCCAUUUGCAUUGAGUUAUAGUGAUUUUGCUGAGGCUGGCAUUUAUUGCAAGAAUGCUCUGAAAUUGAUAAGCAAGGACAAUGACAGAUGAUGCCAAUUUUACAUGAUGUCACCUUGACAGCCAAUAUGAAAUUGCCAACUUGCUUACAAGCAAAAACAAUCAAGUUUUUCUAUGGCCUGAGCAACAAGGCUCUAUAUGAGAAAGGCUUUCAGUUAUGCCCACAGAAAUACUAUUUAGGUCUCAGAGACCACUUUGCCUCCUCCAUAGCCCCCUCAGGCUAUUACGUUGGGCUUGAAUCUCUCAAUCCUAGCAAUAUUUUAUAAUUCCAAGGGCUAGGAAAAUCACAAUGUGAUGGCAUUUUAAAUGCUAUAUAAUUAGAAGUUUUGCAUCAUGAUACAUCUGAGAUGUCAUGGCAUGCAACAUUCUGAAGACAUAAAAACACAACUGACAGUAUUCUGAAACAAAUUAAAGUUGCUCAUCCUGCACAGUAGGCAUUCCUCAAGGCAUCCAGGAAAUAGCACAUGUGCCAUAGAAUCAGAUUCACAGACAGAUAAGCCAGAUACAACUUCCAAAGAGGCAUUUAUAGAUUGAACACAUGACAUAGUUCAUAUUGAACUGGUCUACAGAUGAAAAGGACCCAACAUCUAAUCCCAUGAAAGGCAGAGAUAUAGAUUUCAAGAAUAACCUGUUGUCCAGAAAAAGGAGGAAGCAAGGCAGAACAAAAGAACAAAAGUUGAAUUAAACCAAAUAUUUCAAGCCAAAUUAACCCUUAGUGGAGUAAUUCUAAAUUAAACUUUUUAUUUUGAGGGCUCAUGGCUACUUAAAUAGUCCACCUGGGAGGUUAAUAUCAGCCUUGUCUGAUAAAGUUUCCAUAAUAAUUAUUACAUGAGUUUCCUUAAAUGGAAUUCUGGAGAUGCUACUGUAGUCUAACUGGUAAAGCAUUAGGGUGCG